ACAACAACAUUCGGACCGUCGGUCUACCGAGCAAUAUCACCCACUCGGUGGAAGAUCUUCCCUUUGUCGUUAAGC
rnacentral:pre_miRNA from 1 species